UACGGAGGGGGCUAGCGUUGUUCGGAAUUACUGGGCGUAAAGCGUACGUAGGCGGCCAUUCAAGUCAGAGGUGAAAGCCCGGGGCUCAACUCCGGAACUGCCUUUGAAACUAGGUGGCUUGAACACGGGAGAGGUGAGUGGAAUUCCGAGUGUAGAGGUGAAAUUCGUAGAUAUUCGGAAGAACACCAGUGGCGAAGGCGGCUCACUGGACCGUUGUUGACGCUGAGGUACGAAAGCGUGGGGAGCAAACAGGAUUAGAUACCCUGGUAGUCCACGCCGUAAACGAUGAGAACUAGCUGUCAGGGCCCUUAGGGCUUUGGUGGCGCAGCUAACGCAUUAAGUUCUCCGCCUGGGGAGUACGGCCGCAAGGUUA
rnacentral:rRNA from 1 species